CCCAUCUUAAAACCUCUCUCGCUUUAACAGGUAAGUCCAAGGCUCUGGUAGGAUCCACCCUUGAUUCCUUGAAUAAAAGGACUUGGUCUUCCUUGCCGCAAACAGAGACUUCGUUUCAUCUCUGCGUCGGCCGUUGCGCAAACAGAGAGCCUUCAUUGAUUCGUUUGCAGAGAAAGAAAGAGCUCUUUGUGGUGGUAAAAACGAUCGAGAGAUGAUGGUUGAGUUAUUUCUUCUUGGAUGUACUGGGAUUGUAUUGUUUCUCCACGGUGCUAAUUUCAUUUAUCAUGUUCUUUCCAAACAUGUCGCCGUCCGAUCACUCAGUUUCUUGGGAUUUGUUGGAUGGUAGAGCAAAGCGGGAAUCAAGAAUGAGGCGAUUAAUAAUUCCUUCUUUUUUAGUUUUUGAAUAGCAAAAAAACUGGGAUCUGCAGGGUCCUGAUCUCCGUGACAGCGCCCAGAUGGUUAAGCCUUGGCGUGAAGUAUGGAGAACCAUGCCUAUCCAAAGCGCAACUUUUAUUUAUUUGUUUUUUAAAAUUUUGUUGAGAUAGGAGUAGUUAGCAGCUUGGACAUGCCGUGACGCGCGCAUUGUAUAUAUUAUUACAUUAUGUUUCAGAAAGCUCAGGGGGGAAUAAAGUUUGAAAUAAAUGGGAAGCUGGCUUUAGUUGAGCCAAACCAUCUUGUAAUCCCUGAAUAAUUACUUCUAAUCUUCGAACAUGAACGCUAGAAUAGUUCAAAACUUCAGUCCAUUCUUCAA